CUGGGAUCUUACUCUGACGGACCUGUCACGGUGAGACCUCAAGAAGGAGUCCAAAGCGCUUUGUGAAAAGAACGGUUCACCGGGAACAUCGGGCCAGACCCUGCUCUGGCCAUAUCCAAACGAUCUGCGCGGAGUACGGACUAGGUCCUGUGGACUCCAACAGCUUGGUGACCCCGACGUGAUGGUCAGAGCAGGAGGAAUUGGACACCGGUGACCUUCUGAGAGUAGACGGAAUAAAACUUCGGCUUAUCAAAAAUCCCCAAAACACAGCUAAACCCGGGUAGGACACAGAACCAAGAGUUCGCUGACGAAUCCACAGAAACACGAGCCAAGGGACAUACCGAAGAAGCUGAGGGUGGCAGAGACGUGGAGUACAUCCGACUGAAGACGGUCAAACCCAAGUGGUGUGCCCCACGCUUCACCGGACCCCACAAGGUAACCCAGAGAACAGACCACACUGUGCGACUAGAAGGA